AUGGGCUCCUGUUUUUCCCGGUAAUCCCCUCGUCGCGCAGGAACUUGGGGCUUCCUGCGUUCGCCUGAGCGCUCGCUCUGGACCGUCUCCCCUGGGUGCUCGGUCCAGCCCUCGGCCGCCCGGUGUGACUUUCAGGUGCCUCCUUAUUAGAGAAAAAAAAAUGUUCCAAGAUUCAUUGGGAAUUGUGGAUUUCCUCACUGUUCAUGCUAAACCAAGAGAGACCAUGCAGUGCUCAGAAGGAUAUUGCAGUAUAGGAGCAGUAAAGGCCAGCAUUCUAGCUAA